GGAUGAGAGCCGUACGGCUAGCUCCCCCCGAAUUCCCCCAGGGUGGAAACACAGCAAGGGUAGGAGGUUGUAGCGGCGCGAUAUGGUUUCUCAUCCGUU
rnacentral:SRP_RNA from 1 species